UACAGAGGGGGCAAGCGUUGUUCGGAAUUACUGGGCGUAAAGGGCGCGUAGGUGGCCUUCUAAGUUGAACGUGAAAUCCCUGGGCUCAACCCAGGAACUGCGUCCAAGACUGGGAGGCUUGAAUCCGGGAGAGGGAUGCGGAAUUCCAGGUGUAGCGGUGAAAUGCGUAGAUAUCUGGAGGAAUACCGGUGGCGAAGGCGGCAUCCUGGACCGGCAUUGACGCUGAUGAGCGAAAGCUAGGGGAGCAAACGGG
rnacentral:rRNA from 1 species